rnacentral:lncRNA from 1 species
CAGAUUUAGAAGCAAUACAGGAAUAAAGAAUUAAAUAACCGUAAAAAAGACUCUUGUUCUACGUACAAACACAGGCUAGGCAGGCUUCACCGAUCAGCAGCAACCUCUGCAAUACGCGAAAAAAGAAAAGAAAGAAAACAAACACGUUGAGGGGAAGAAAUGAUAAUGAUCAGAUUGCAUAGCCACCGUCGCAAGAACAGCUACCGGAGCCGCUGUUGAUAUCGCCGUGUGAGCGUGGUUUGGUACUGAGACAGCAACACAUUAGACCUAUCAAUAGCAUUAAAACCCAAGCAGAGGCUAUAGCUUCUGCCCAGUUCAUAUAAUGCUCCAUCUGCAAACACUGAUGAACAAGAACCGGGAUCCAAGUUUAUUGCUGCUCAUGGCAACAUGGUAUCAUAGUGUCUGCCCUUU